ensembl:lncRNA novel transcript
ACAGGCUAGGAGAAACGAACUUUGAGUAGAUGACCUGGGUUCUAAAUUCUAGUUCUGAUCAGGGGAGCUAGGAUAAGGUGCAUGGAUCCCCUGAGCCUACAUUUUCUCAUUUUAUAAAUAAGGAGACUAAAACCAAUAAUGUCUCAGGAAACACUGGACAAGCUGUUUGGGCUCUCUAGCCUUGGAUUCCUCAUUUGUAAGACAAAGAAGAUAAUCCUACCCUAUUGCCCAUGUUGGUGUGGGAAUCCACAAAGAAGGACACGGCACUGUUCCAAGUCAAGGUUACAGGGAGAAUGGAACAAGUUUCAGUAGAAGAAACUUCACCUAACCUCUUUAAUUCCAACAGUUCUUGAAUUUCCUGAAAAAUCUAUUGGUGUAUACUCAGAAAUGGAACUGUUGGAUCACAUGAUGGUUUCACAGCAGUUUCAAUGUUUUAAACGAUAGUAGUUUCACCACCUAAGAAGUUGUCUUUCAAUAAGAAGACCAAAGAGGAAGAUAUAAAAAGACUUAUUUUGGUGUAUCUCUAGGGUAUUCCCUAAGAACUGGUAUACAAUGGGUCUAGAUAUUUGAGGAAGUCUGAGUUGAUGCAUAGGCAGGUAUGGUCAAUAUGAAAUUAGGCUUAUCAGCCUGAUUUGAUUCUUACUCAGACUGGUAAGAACUGAGGAUAUAAGGGCUGAGGACAUAAAGGUCACCCCAGAUAGCCAUCUUGUGCUGAACCUGCUUUUUGGCAGGUAAGUUCUUGCCAACCCUAAUUAUUUCUGCUAACUCCCUUUGUAUUUCCAGUACCACCGUACUCAAUUAAAGAUCCAGACUCAUCUCUUACAAUAGUAAAACAUACCUAAGAUCAGGCUAUAAUGUUUACACAAGUUUAUUAUUACCUUUAGUAUUUUAUUCAAAUAAUAUCACAAAGCAUUAAAAAUUUCAGAAAUAAACCUAUAGACACACCCCUAAAACUUUAUAUGAAUAUCUCUGAGGCAAUAGGCCAUGGUUCUCUGCAGGUUAGUGGUGCAUUGUUCACUAGCUGUUAAAUUAUUCAGUGCUUACACAGUCUCCAAACCAAAUGUAUACUUUUCUUUUUUCACUCCCAUUAUCUAAGUAGUCACCAUAAAAUAGCAAUAUUUACCAAAAAUAUCUCUCAUAUCUGUUCCAUCUUCUCCAAUUCAAUAGAAUUGUCAGUGCUAAAAAAUCUACUAUUUAGCUUAAGCCUCCUUCAAUUAUUUAUUUUUCAUAAUGGGAGACACUGUAGCACAACUGUUAAAUACACAAGUUCUAGACUUAGACUGUGCGUGGUUCAAAUUAACGUCUGACUAGUGGUGUCAUCAUUGCCAAAUUACUUAAUUUCUCUGACCCAUUGCAGAAUUAACAAAAAGUACAAUAAUUAUGAUGCCUACUCCUGCAAGCAUUAAAACAAACAUGCCUAUAUACACAUAUAUGUAAAAUGUGUUUUAUAAUAUCUGGAACAAAAUGUCCAUUCAAUAAAUAUUAGCUACUA